GACGUAGGGCGCGAGCGUUGUCCGGAUUUAUUGGGCGUAAAGAGCUCGUAGGCGGCUCGUUGCGUCGGCUGUGAAAACCCGCAGCUCAACUGUGGGCUUGCAGCUGAUACGGGCGGGCUGGAGUUCGGUAGGGGAGACUGGAAUUCCUGGAUGUAGCGGUGAAAUGACGCAGAUAUCAGGAGGAACACCGGUGGCGAAGGCGGGUCUCUGGGCCGAUACUGACGCUGGAGGAGCGAAAGCAUGGGGAGC
rnacentral:rRNA from 1 species